rnacentral:rRNA from 1 species
UACGGGGGGGGCAAGCGUUGUUCGGAAUUACUGGGCGUAAAGGGCUCGUAGGCGGCCAACUAAGUCAGACGUGAAAUCCCUCGGCUUAACCGGGGAACUGCGUCUGAUACUGGAUGGCUAGAGUAUGGGAGAGGGAAGUGGAAUUUCAGGUGUAGCGGUGAAAUGCGUAGAUAUCUGAAGGAACAUCAGUGGCGAAAGCGACUUCCUGGACCAAUACUGACGCUCAUGUGCGAAAGCGUGGGGAGCAAACAGG